AGUGAAUAGUCACUUCCUGGCGUCCCCAAGAGAGAAAAAAAAGGAGGCCUGCAGCGCAAGCGAAAGAGCGGGCUGCCCCAUCACCCCUGUUUCUCCUAAAUAAGCAGUGAUCUGUUGAACCGCUGCCAACGGAGGCUGGCCCAAACCCUUGCAGCGCAACUUUUACAAGCCGAGCCUUCGCCAGCAGGAAGGCAAAAAGACACACAGCCUAGACCUGUGAGAGAGUAAGGAUUCUGCUCCUCUACUUUCUUUCUUUUUGUGGUUAACAAAAAAAAAAAAAAAAAGGAAAUUGUUUGAUGACGAAGGGAGGAUUUUUUUAUGCUGACGUCACAGAGGCAAAGCUGUCUUGGAUAUCGCCUGAGGAAAGAUGAGUGACACAUGGUGGACACACUUUGAAUACAAAGAGUCCUCAAAGGAAAUCUCGGGACAAAAAAAGCACCCAGGCAGGUGCAGGACGACUAAAAAGACGCAGAGCCAAGAAUGGGUUCCGCCAGGCAUGGACUACCUGGGAAGGAUGCCAAGUGCUGACAAAAGGCUUAGCAAGGAACAAGUCGUUUGCAGCGAAACGCGUCGGGAAGCCAUUUGGAUGGCUUCAUCCGGAACAGCGUCAAACCCCGCUGGCGUCAUUUCAAGCCUGCCUAUGAACAGAUGACAUGUGAACUUCUGCCUUCCCUUUCUUCUGUCAUUUCGGCUGAGCUCGCUCACUGACAAGGUGGACAAAAAUACCGCAAACUCAGCCCAUCCUCUCUUCGCACUAAACAUAAUGGUGAGUGGAGCCUAGCGAGGUGAAGUUGUCGGUUGUAUAGUUUGUGUUAUGCUGCCAGUCCCCCCCAAGAAGUGCUAACUAUACAGUCUAUUACAUUCCUUGAGUGGCACAAAGUGAAGCUCGUUGCACACUGCCAUCAUUGGGAACACAAAGUGUUUUACGUUGGGUUUUCAUGAUCAUCAUCUGCCUAAAUUUGAUGCUCAACCUUGUGAGGCUGGCAUUUAUAAAAGAGACAAAGAACAGUUGGCUAUCAGGUUUCAAUAGUGCAUUUUACUUUAAAAACAUGGUUUUUAAUUUGUUUAUCAGUAUGUGUGUCUAAAAAAUUUGAGAGACAUCUUGCCAGCAAAAAUGCUCACAUGCAAUAAAGACAGUCCGAAAACCAUGAGGAAGUUACAUGGCAAAAUCAACUUUGCUUCUUCCCCUCUGCGCAUAGCAUUGUGACUAUUACGAACAAAACAACAGCACUUAACCAAAAUCAUUUUUUCAUGUUUCCGUAAUGGUUAAUGUCAGUGCUUUUGAACCAAAAUGAUAUUUUCAAUGCGAGGAUAGCCUUAUGAAUUUUCGAAUGUAUAUUUAAAAAAGAAAAAGGAAAAAAAAUUGUUCUGCACAUAGUUUAUGGAUUAAUAUCAAAAAAGUGCUUUUGUGAUUAAAUUUGACUGAAGAAAAAUCAGUCUACAAUUUCUUCCUCUUGUUUAAAUGGUCAAACGGCACUGAAAUCGAACGAGUCCGAUAUAAAGCACCUGACGGUGCGGUGUGAUUUGUUGUUGUUGUUUUUUUUUUUGUUUUUUUUUUUAACAGUAGUCUAAUAAAUUUGUGAAACACAUGGAAAAAUAAAUUAUCUUAAACUAGGCAACACCAUACACGUGAACUCACAGGUUUCUGAUUCGAAUCCAUGCUCUGACCAGCUACUUUUGUGGAGUUUGAAAAUUUCUCCCCCAUUCCUAAGAUGUCAGAGCUAAGGUGAAUGGUUGUUCCUCUAUAUGUGCUCUCCAAUUGGCUGGCGACCAGUCUUGUAACCGCUAUCUUUAAAAGCCAAAGACCAAGUCCGAAACCUCGCUGAUAAAUUCGGAUCUGACUGUCAGUAGUCAUAGCAAGGCAAUCACUAAAAGAGCCUUCUGCCAACUGAAAAACAUGCGGAGUGAAGGGCUGCAUGCUCCAAGCAGAUCAGGAGAAGCGUAUCCAUGCUUUUAUCAUCUGUAGACUUAAUUAGUACAACGGUCUUCUGACUUGACUCACUCAAAAGAGCAUCAAAUAGCUGCAGAACGCUGCAGGCCGGGUUCUGAAAAGACAACAAAGAGAUCAGAACAUAUGACUCCUCUCCUAAAUUCUUCACACUGGCUCCCAGUGAGCUGUAGUGUCGACUUAAAAGCAACAAACAAUUCAAAAUUCAUUUUCCUUCAUUCCAUUAGGCAGUGUGUAUGAACCUCCAUCCAUCCAUUCUCAAUACCGUUUAUCCC